rnacentral:tRNA from 1 species
GUGGGUGUAGCUCAGUGGUAGAGUGCAUGCUUGGGAUGCACAAGGUCCUGAGUUCAAUCCCCAGUACCUCCA